AUAGUAGUAGAAUCGUAAGGUUUUUUCAGAUUCACCUGUAGAUUAUGAUCACAAGUAACAAUGAGUCACCUAAGAUAUGUAAAUUAGUACAUACCGUAAGGUCAGGUAUUGGACGCCUCCGCAGCCAAUGGUUUCCUUAGAACGUGCUUUGGUUUCUGAAAUGGGACAGGGAGAGAUAGUAUAAAAAGAGGACUUUGGCCAGAGGUUCUUCAUUCGCUUGAAAGAGUAGACUCAACCAAGUCCAGAGUUCCUCUACCUGACAACCAAUCGACUUUGCAGUCAACAUGAGCCAACAACAACAGCAACAACAAGGAAGCUGCUGUGGCGGAGGUAGCAGCGGCCUAGGCGGAGGGUGCUGCCGCCGAGGAAGUAGCGGUGGAUGCUGCAGCCGUGGGUCAACCGGAGGAGGAGGAGGUUGUUGUUGCCGCCGAGGAAGUAGCGGCGGCGGAUGCUGCAGUCGUGGUUCGGGCACCGUCUACGUUCAACAGACCCAGCAGACCAGCAGAUGUUGUUGCAUCAACCGUUCGGGCCCCUGUUGUGGUCGGUGCUGUGGCCGGCGUUGCGGUGGUGGCUGCUGUGGUGGGGGAUCUACCCAAGUGAAGCAGAAGUAGAUACCUUCAAAGAACGCAGCCAACCGACCUCUACCUCUAGCACGUUCUCCUCCUUCCCAGAAACCCAAAGGGUGGACCUGGAAAUUUUCCAACCUCUGAAUUUCCCUGCUCUGUUAUCCCUGUGAAGCUAUUAAAACAACCCCUUGCCUGCAAAUAA